rnacentral:piRNA from 1 species
UGCUACUCACAAUGAAAUUAAGGAGCUCC